UACAGGGGGUGCAAACGUUGCUCGGAAUCAUUGGGCGUAAAGCGCACGUAGGCGGCCUGUUAUGUCGGAUGUGAAAGCCCUUGGCUUAACUGAGGAAGUGCAUCCGAAACUGGCAGGCUAGAGUACUAAAGAGGGUCGCGGAAUUCCCGGUGUAGAGGUGAAAUUCGUAGAUAUCGGGAGGAACACCGGUGGCGAAGGCGGCGACCUGGGUAGAUACUGACGCUGAGGUGCGAAAGCGUGGGGAGCAAACAGG
rnacentral:rRNA from 1 species